rnacentral:rRNA from 1 species
UGAUCUCGGAUCAGGUAGGGAUACCCGCUGAACUUAAGCAUAUCAAUAAGCGGAGGA